rnacentral:rRNA from 1 species
CUACGGGCGGCUCCAGUGAGGAAUAUUGCACAAUGGAGGAAACUCUGAUGCAGCAACGCCGCGUGGAGGAUGACGCAUUUCGGUGUGUAAACUCCUUUUAUGAGUCAAGAAAAUGACGGUAGCAUAUGAAUAAGCACCGGCUAACUCCGUGCCAGCAGUCGCGGUAAUACGGAGGGUGCAAGCGUUACUCGGAAUCACUGGGCGUAAAGGACGCGUAGGCGGGUUGGAAAGUCAGGUGUGAAAUCCUACAGCUUAACUGUAGAACUGCACUUGAAACUUCUAAUCUAGAGUAUGGGAGGGGGAGAUGGAAUUAGUGGUGUAGGGGUAAAAUCCGUAGAUAUCACUAGGAAUACCUAAAGCGAAGGCGAUCUCCUGGAACAUUACUGACGCUAAGGCGUGAAAGCGUGGGGAGCAAACAGGAUUAGAUACCCGCGUAGUC